GGAAGUCAUAAGAUUUAUUGAUGUUAAGAAUAGAAUAAUAGUUUGGCAACCAACAGAGAUAAUCCAUAAGACGAUCAAAUCAACCAAUCCUGGGACAUCUGGGGCAAUAUCAUAGAAAUAGAAAUCAAAACGAUUAAACUAAAAGAUAGAACAUGAAAAUGCAUGAGAGCGCCUUUAGGUUUUGGGGUCAGCAGCUUUGUCGUUGUGAGGAUCCUUUUGAUUUCCAGAAGCUUCAGCUUUCAGCAUAGCGUCAAGUUCGAGAUUCAAACGUUCCUUCAGCCUCAGCAUCCUCUGACACGCAGCGUUCAAUUGCUCUGGAUUCAUCGAUUCGAAUUGCUUAGUAUCUUCCCACCAAAACCUUGGGUGCUCAACCUCCGCAUCCUCCUCGUCUUCAUCUUCCUCCUCCGCAUCAUCCACUGGUGCUGGAUUAUUCUCGAGGAAAGUGUUAACAACGCCAUUGACAGAGGGAAAGCCGAAGGAGAACAUAGAGACGUCCGAUUCGGAGGAAGAAGGAGGAGGAGUAACGAAGAUGGCGAUUUUGGUGGAGGGAUCUUCGGAGACAAGUUUCGCUGCUUCGCGGAAGAGAUCGUCGCGUAGUUCUGCGAAAUUAACAGAUCCUGAUGCUUCCUUCUUCUCUACCUUCUCCAUCUCCAUCUUCGUCUCCGUCUCCGUCUUUUGCCUCUUAGAAUCUCCCAUUGUUGUACCGUUUCGAAUUUUGAUUUC
rnacentral:lncRNA from 1 species